rnacentral:rRNA from 1 species
ACUGCAGGCUGCAACUCGCCUGCACGAAGCCGGAGUUGCUAGUAAUCGCGGAUCAGAAUGCCGCGGUGAAUGCGUUCCCGGGUCUUGUACACACCGCCCGUCACACCAUGGAAGUUGGGGGUGCCCAAAGCCGGCAGGGAAAUAUGCUGUCUAAGGCAAAACCAAUGACUGGGGUGAAGUCGUAACAAGGUAGC